rnacentral:rRNA from 1 species
UACGUAGGGUCCGAGCGUUGUCCGGAAUUAGUGGGCGUAAAGAGCUCGUAGGCGGUUUGUCGCGUUGUCCGUGAAAACUCACAGCUCAACUGUGGGCGUGCGGGCGAUACGGGCAGACUAGAGUACUGCAGGGGAGACUGGAAUUCCUGGUGUAGCGGUGGAAUGCGCAGAUAUCAGGAGGAACACCGGUGGCGAAGGCGGGUCUCUGGGCAGUAACUGACGCUGAGGAGCGAAAGCGUGGGGAGCGAACAGG